CAACUAACAUUACAGAACUUCCUGUCCGAACAAUAGCAUGCUUGAAAUUUGGAUCCCUACAAAAAUUUAGAUAAAUGAUAAGAGUUUUGUUGCAAAAUGCACAUUGCAGUUUUUACAGCUUCAGCAGCUGCCAAAAACACCUUCUCCUCAACAGAAACACUUCCUUUUAACUUCUUUGGCAGUUCCAUUCCACCAGGUAUGGCAUUAUCUUCCAUUGCAGUAGGCUCAAGCUCAACAGAAUCCGGAGACCUUGUUGAAACCCGAAAUGACCUUCACUGGGGACAAAGAAGAAUAAUAAAAACAAGCAAGUUGAAGACCCGAGUCACCAUCCGCGAUAGUCCUCCAGAAGAGCUACAGCAUAUGUUCUCUCCCUUGAAGGAAACUACCAGCAAGAAUCACAUUAUUCAGAUAUAAAGUAAUCCGGGCAACCCACAUGGUAAAUUUUAAUCUAAUUAUGCUUCAUGUUUGAUGCAUUUCAGAAACUGGACAAAAUGCCAUCAAUUCACUUCAUAAGUAUCAUUUAUUUUUGUAAGAUUUCUUCCAUCCUCAAGCUUAACAACACUAAGUAGUGUCUGGAAUAAAUCAACUCAAGGAAAACUGGAUUGUAAAAACUCACUCUGUAUGGCCAAGGCAAAAGCUCUGCAUCUCAUGGGCUCCAUCUAUAGGCUUUUUGGGGAACACAGUAACCUGUCACAAAAAUGACAAGAUGUAAAAGAAGUGCAGAGACAGGCUAACUAUUUAUGUCAUUCAAUGAGCUAAGACUGUUUACACGAA